AUUGAACGCUGGCGGCAGGCUUAACACAUGCAAGUCGAACGAGUGGCGGACGGGUGAGUAAUGCUUGGGAAUCUAGCUUAUGGAGGGGGAUAACUACGGGAAACUGUAGCUAAUACCGCGUACCAUAGGAUGAGCCCAAGUGGGAUUAGGUAGUUGGUGAGGUAAAGGCUCACCAAGCCGACGAUCUCUAGCUGGUCUGAGAGGAUGACCCGGCCAACUGGGACCGAGGCAAGGGCCCGAACCCUACGGGGGGCAACAGGGGGGAAUUUUGGGCCAUGGGGGGAACCUGACGGAGCCAAGCCGGGGGGAAGAAGGAGGCCUUCCGGGUGUAAAAUUCUUUCGGUAGGGAGGCGUUAACUACAGAAGAAGCACCGGCUAACUCCGUGCCAGCAGCCGCGGUAAUUC
rnacentral:rRNA from 1 species